AGGAUUCGAGACAAUGUGUGUCUGGCACAGCGCAGUGUUCCUGAUUUCCCAUUAGGAGCAACUUUCUCCAGCACGGAGGUGAAACUCAGGGAGGAUAAACCAAAGUCCUUAACUGCUCUGCUUUGUCAAACCCGGAAAGAGCUUGCUCUGGGCCAAUUCUGCUUGAGAAGUUUGCUGAUGUAGUUCCCAUCUCCUGCCUUCCUCUGGUGAGACUCUUAUUAACGGACUGGCAAAGGCUGGGCAAAAUGCACUUAAGAAAAAAGAAAUCACCUCUUCUUGCCAAGACGCACAUGCUGCCCAGUACCUGAGGAAGAGUUCCACUGUCGCUGGCCAAGAGAAAUCCCAGUUUAACCUCUGCUUCCCCUUUCCAAAUCCAUUGCAAAUAAUUGUCUGUGUGCCACUC